AUAAUUCUAUGGGUGAUGUGUCGUCUAUGUUAUGCCUUCUCGUAGUGUUUGUUUUUCGUGGUUCGACUUCUAUCGUACCCACCACCAGUGGCAGCACUAGCCACUACGAAUAGUGCAAGUAGUGUUAAAUUCGCCAUUGCUCUCUGUGUCCAGAACGGAAAACAUGUGUUGUCGAUUUGUAAUGUGAUGAAUUGCAUUUCUUCAUCUUGUAGAAAGCUACCCUGUAUUAUUCAAAUAGCGAAGUAGUUGUUGCUGUUGUUCGUGCGAUCGAUGUCCAUGAUAUCGCGGUGAACCUUUGCUCGAACCCGGCUACCAAAAAGAUACUUGUGGCUAUCUUCUGCCUUCGUGAAGUUCUAGCGUAGCAGCGAUUGGAUUGUUAGGAGCCGGUAGAUACUUAUGCUAAUGAACACGCCGAGACAAUUAGCCGUACUAUAUGAUAGUGAUAGAAGCCACCGCCUGUUUUAAGAAGUGCUAAGUCGAGUGCGUGACAGACAAACCGAGCGAGUCUCUUCUAACAUUUAAUUCGACAUAUACACAGAUACGAUCCGCAUAUUGUGGUCGUGUAUUUGAACAGCACGGCCAGUAUAACGGGAAAGAAGGGAGUGACCAACAGUCAGUGAUCUUUUUGUUGUUCUGGAACAAAGUGAAAGGAACGAACAAAACACCUAAUCACAGUUUCAUUGCCGUGUCCUGGAUUAGCUUGUCACCGUAGUUUCGUACGCUGAUACCAGCGGCGGCAGUUAUUCGCUGCAAAUACUAACCAGUCUAUGAGUAUUAGAUGUAUUUACGUUAGCCGAUGAUAGCUGCUAGUUGCCCUUCGUCUUACAAGUGUCUUGCAGGUGUGCAAUACGAGGAACAUAACCACGAGACCAGCUGUUUCAACAACAACAAAAACAACAACAACAAGCAAGCAAGCAAGCACGUUAACGGCGGUGACAAGUAUUUUUUAUCUAUUACCUUCUGACGGAUAGCCGUCAUAAUAAUAUCGCAGGGAAAAGAAGAAGCGGGCCAAUUAGCUAACAGAUAGUUUUGUUGUUGUUGCCGUGGUUAUUGUUAUUCUUCCGUAUAAGAACUGAACCGCAUCGGGUGCUAUGAGAUCUUGAUGUUAUUGAUAUUAAUGAGACUUGUUCCCAUCCCCUAGGAAUUCACAAAAGUUGUCCCAUCACAUAAGAGACGGGCUCUGUCAAUUUAUCUAAAUGCGCGACCAUUGUCCGGUCGAAAACAAUCCUGAGUCCUGGCAUGUGUGCGUGUAUAGCUUCUGAGUUCUGAUGGUUGUCAGUGCCGUAAUGGCUGACGAAAGUGCUGUUGCUGAUACUACUGUGGCGGAUUAUAACAGCAACCAGAUUUGAGAUUCUAACGUAGCAGUGCCACAGCGCGGUAUCCCGAUCUGUGCUGCAGGUGCUGGUAACGAAGCGGUGAAAUCUUCUACGUAGACUAACGAUCCUGUCUGCGGAAGCUCAUGCUGCUCUUGCAGCUGUUGGUGCUCCUUAGACUGUUAUUGUUGCUGGUGCAACUUGUAGAUCGGUGUGGUGUUGAUCUGCUAUCGAUUUUCAGCUUGUCAUAUGCGGGUGUACUGGUAGCUUUUAACGAAGUCGAACGGGAGGAAGCAAAAGGCAAAACUAGAAGAAGUUACAAGCAGGCAGUAGCAACAAACGUCUGUUUUGUUUUUAUUGUUACUGCUGCUGGUUCCGUUGUCGUCUUAGUAGCUUGAAAUAGUGAAACCGGCAUUUAGGAUGCUCCCACUUGGAGCAUCUUUCAGGUAAUCAACAAACUUGUGGUAGCAGUGACUGCAACAUCGUAAUUAUUCGAAAAUAUUGAAACAAGCAGAAACGUGAAAUCAUCUAAAACAACGUUGCGGUGCUCUGAUCGCUAUUACCUAACUCUAAAAGGGUGUAUAACACAACUAAAUGCAAAUGAUGUCAUCACAAAACAUCAUGGCAGUAAUCGACUCUGCGAAACAACUCGUAACCAACCUCAAACAGGAUGAUGCCUCCCUCGAUAAGCUUCAUAUCGAUGCGAUGGCAAUUCUACGUAAGUUAGAAGCAAUGAAAGAAUAUAGUGAUGAAGUAUCGCAUAUCGAAUCCGUUGUCAAACCGACGAAUUCACGAGGAGCUCUCAUCGCGGCCAUCCAGCAGGAAAAUCGCCAGAUCAAGGAUUUGAAACGGGAAAAUAUUGCACUGCUGGGCGCACUUGAAGAACACCAGAACACUCUACAAAUGGUCAUGACAAAAUACAGGCAACACGUCUUGGCGUUGACAAAAAACCGUGAAGUCGAACAAGCUUGCGCCCAGCAGCUUAGCUCUUCGCAGGCUGUCCACCGUCUUGCGGAUAAAAUCUCUGAAAUGGCUGGUAUCAUGCGAUUGGCGGCCGAUAUUGACGAAAACAACUCGAACUGUACAGAGGAGCAACUUGCACGAUUGCGAACGGAAAAUGGGGUCCUUCGCGAAAUUCUCCAAAUAGCUAGCAGUUGCGGAUCCGUCAAAAAUGAAUCACUUCAGAACGGGUUUACGACGAUUCGGAAAAACGACGGUUGUGCAAAGACUGCCUCAUCAGAACCAUCCGCUAUCUCAGAGACGCCGAUAACAUCUUCAACCCCAACGUCAGCCACGACGAACUCUGCUCCCAUCGAGAACAAAAACGCGACCUCCAGCAGAUGUCCAUCGAAAAGGAUCGCAACUGAAAACAAAUAGUGUAAUGGUGAAUGAAAGUGAUGUAGAGGAGUGCUUUAGUAAAAAGCAGUACCGCGUGACCCUAAUGGCCAUCUGGCGGGCCAUGGUUAUUGUGCUUUUGGGUCCAGCAGCUCGAAGCUUAAAUUGAAGAAAUCGCAGGCAUCUGAAGGGCGAUUUAGACGAUAAGAGCAUUGGCCCUUCCAUGUGUUGGCGUCGGAGCGCGACAAACCAGGGUGGGCCGAGUAUAAGAUGAAUGUUGUGCGUGAACCCGUUUUAAAUAUGAAUGAAACAAACGAAACGGACGGAAAAAAUAAAUAUGACACAAAAAAUAGAUUUCAGUAACAAAAACGUGUUACAGCACCUGAGCGGGGCUUGGCUAGAGCGCUGCCGCUUGUAGAUAUAGGAAUGGCUAGUUAGAAAACAGACGAUACUUACAAGGAAAAGAGGAAUUUAACAAAUGAGCCACAUCGAGACGACCACGUAACGUUGGGCUCUCUCCUUUAUCUGUCGAAAGGAUCUAUUAUAAAAAAAAAAUGACUAUUUAUAGUGAGUUUUUGGUCUGAUUGAUUCUAGAUAUUACAAAAAUUUUAAUAAUAUGGAGUGCAGAUUAUCGGAAAGCUUUAUCCUGAGGACCUUGUUGAAGUUCACAGCAUCUGACACAAGCUGGGUGAGGCUUCUCGGCUCGGUUUUUGAAUCAGGACUAGAAUGGGGUUUUCGGAGUGAUUUUGGUAAACUUGUCAAUUAUAAACGCGUAUCAUCUGAUCUGCGAAAACAUUUCUGUACGUGAUCGCAUAAGUCUGUCUGCUUCGAAUGCUAUAGCGGAAGAUAAAAUAUUUGAGUACAAUGGUUCUACAUCGAAUACAUAUGGAAAGCAUUGUGGACUUUAAUAUAUAUUAAUUUUUAAGGGUCUGUUAAGUAGUCUUCUUAUUGAAAAGGACUAGUACGAUCUUAUAAGAAAAGACUAUUAUCGCAUCACUCAUACAAUGUGCAGUAACUGCACCACGGGAAAUUUUGUGAAAAUAAAAAGAAGAAAAUGGUAACAUUUACUAGACCUAGCAUUUGGUUAACAAAAGAGCAUCUUGUAGGCUACAUCUCACCGUCGCCAUAGGAUCGUCGAUACGGAAGGGAGGUAUUAGGGUGAUCCGAAUGUCCUAUAUCAUAUUUUAACACAGUAUGUAUUUAUUAUGCAGGUUAUUAGAUAUUAGUUAGUGGUAGGUAGCGACAUGCGAUGUUCAGGUUCUUGACAGAUAAGCUGGCGAUUACCGACUAACAGCUGAAGGUGAGUAAGCAUAUGAGGCUUCAAGUACAAGUGUGCCUCGAGAAUAAUAUAUAUAUAUAUAUAUAUAUGCGAAAAUAAAAAAUGUGCGCAUGACAUAAAAUAAAGUUUGUUCUGUGCUGGAUGAGUAGUAAUCAACAAAUAUAUAAAAAAAAAAUGAUGAAGAAAAAUUAACUUUUCCUUGGACCUCGGACAACGAAGGCACGUUCAUAAAUUAACCGAAGUUCUAUUCACUUUGAAACAAUUCCGGUCAUCACAACAGGAUCUGGUUGAAAGUGAGAUUUCAACUCACAGAAAUAAUAAAUGCUUUAUUCCAAAGGUAGCAUUCAGUAACGAAAGUAACACUAUAAGUUCAUGGAGAGGUAGCCAUAAGCCAUAGUGUAGCAGGCGUAGUCAAAUAUGGAUAUAUUCUACAUAAUCAUGAGAUGUGAAAUAAAAGAUUUUUUUGUGUGGAGUUUUUAUUAAAUCCGAAAAGUCGUUUCCUUUCCAUGCAUAUAUUGUAUGUAGUUUCGUGCGGACGAAUAUACUUCAUGAUAUGUACACGUAUGCAGUACACCGAUAUUUAACAGAACAAAAGAACACUUUUGUAUUGUACAACAAUUCUUCCAGACAAUAAAUAACUUGGACUCGUGUUACAAGUGCCCGGUGUUCAUUGUGAUUACUUUGAUUUUGUCCGACAACAAAUCAUGGUCGUGAAAUUGGCCUUAAAAACUCAGCAUCAGUCCGUGGCUGCUAAUUCGUUCAGAGAAUUAUUUUUAUUCUAAAUACUUGAUACUGGUGAAUUUAUUGAGAAGUGCUAGUUGUAAAACAUCUCGAACAAAGACAUAUAACAAGAGAAACAAAUUUUGUAUAUUUUAAAUGCAUUACAGACAGCAUAAUUUUAAAAUUACGUAUGCUAUUUGAUUGUUUUCAUAAAAAAAAUCAGUGAAGCCUUUCCACGCUUGUGCUUUGUAUACAUAUAUAUCUAGUUUUGUUGCAGUUCACAGUUUCCGCAGUCUUUGCUCAUCCAAAGGUUCAGCCAUCCAAGCCAAUGCGUUAAAAUAUGGUGCAACACACACAUAUAUAUCUAUAAUAUAUCUAUGAUGAUUAUAAAUAUUCAAUUGGUUACGAGAGUAGAAAUGGGUUAUUGCCAAACUGAUUUCAACUCGCCGUCCACUAUUCACUGUAUUUGUUUCGCCUGCUUGUCUAUCUAUCAGUACCCGUUUCGCGUCCACGAGGUCUACGAAACUCACACGAUGUUUUAAUAUAUUCAACUAUAACAAACAGAAGCCUGUUUUGGCCUACUACUCCACCUUUUUUUUCAUUGUUAUGACAUUACUUCCGCUUUGUCAAACGAGUUAAAUAUAUUCAGCGAGUCAAGCCCAGUCGAAUCAGGAUCAGCCCUAUUCUUGUUCAGUUAAAAAAACUGCGUUACUGUAACCUGUGUACGUCGCUCGAUGCUGAAUAGGACGAACUCCGCAAACGGCAGUCAAAACGCUAGACGGCUCUCUGAGUCACGGAGCCACCACUGUAUGACAACAUACUGUCUCUGUUUCAAACGCACGUCACAAAAAGGCCUAUCGUUGAUUACUGCACAACAUUUGCACGUAAAAGGACGGCAGCAGUCGAAAACAACAUUUCCGUCGCGCAGCGGGCUUCGUCUCGUUCCUGGGGGAAAGUAACGAUAAUCAACGCCGAUGACAAGACGGAUUUCGGUAUAUGGGCAGAAACAUCGAUGAAUCUACAACACCCAGGCUACUCUUCAGAAGAUUGACGGCCAGCCGGAUCUCCGCUCUGCUCUUAGCAGCGACUAGUAGAGUACUGCCAGGUAAGAUGAGCCGAGAUAUCUUUGCAGAGUUGUUUGUGGACUUAGCCGCUAGUAGCAAUGGCAAUUAACUAAACGCGUGCAUAGUAUAGCUGCGGCGUCCUUUGCGAUAUUCGACAGCCUGCAGCUAUAGCGGUCAUCCCUCAGCCGGAUUUGAAACUUAAUGUUAGCUGAGAAAACGCAACCAAAACAAAUCAUAAGGAAGGCUAAUACGCAACCUUGUGAGGCAAGCAGUUCUAAUGGCAGUUUCCGCGAAGGUCAAAUAACUCAAUCUAUGUCGGAGGCGUUGCGAUAUUUGUGUUGUAAUUCUGAAACAUCGGGUUUCGUUUGAUAGAGUUAGCGGCGUAGAGACAAUUACACAUGGCGCGGAUUUUGCCUGCACUGACAACUUGUAAGCUUCUUCAUGAAAGCUUCAGCUUUCAUUAUAAGUGUUUGAGUGACAAAACUAGGCCUGCCCCUAAUUUAAUGCUAAUGAAGGUUUUUUUUUGGUGGAACAAAAGCAAUUAUUUAAGACUUAAAAAAUUGCGGAACACCUCCGAUAUUCCAUACAUACAUGUAUAUUAUUAAUAACAGUAUCAGUCAAUUUGCAUUACAAUAAAAGGGAUUAGAGUAUGGAAGUCAAAAUGUCAAAAAUCACCUACAGCUUUGUUUAUCAGGUAUUACAUUAGUUAGCUAAUCUUUGACCCGGAAAUUUGACUACAUCGUGCACACGGACGCGGCAGUCUAUCACUAUGGGAUUCGUCGCUGCUACUAAAAACUGGGCCACAAGAGUGAUCUAAUCGUCAGCAUAAGCUAACUGACUAGUAAUUAUGUUAUGCAUUUGAUUUAAUUCGUUAACACUGUUGCUAUGAGCAGUGCAUAUACUGCUAUGGGUGCUGGCGGCUGAGUCGUUCUUUCGGGUUUAGCAAAUGCUUUCACCCAUAGCACUGCUAAUCGUCGUUGAAACUGUACGUGUCUUAUUUCGUACGUUGAUUCCAGUAGCCCUGUGCUUAAUAUUUUUUAACCGCUUUGGUGCUGGAUUUUCUCGAUAGUGCUUGACCUUUCAGUAUAGCUCAUUGUAUGAUGUGACCUCUAGACGUGUUCCUGUGUAAUAGAUGCAUUGUUGCUGUUUAUACCUUAUGCGUGACUUCAGUGUGGGCUGGCCUGUUCGUCCACUUUGCGCCAACGUGCUAGCAGAGUACGUUGCUUUUUACCGGUUAGAGGUAGCUUGAUACCUAUUUCCUUCUGUGCAGAGCCAGCAUUAAGUUGAAUAUCAUUUGGUCUCGUAAUGAUUUUGCGUACUGUGGUGACCUGUAUCCAGGAGCACAGUUCGCAAAAAGUUGUAGAGUUUGAUGUGAACGGUAUAUGCAUCGUCUAUUCGUUAUACUCUUCAAAGCUGACUUGGGUUCCUGCGGAUUAGCAUUUUUCUAUUCGGAGCAGGGCGAUGUUUUAGCAUACAUCGGGAUCAGUUCGCACAAACAUUGAUCAGAGCGGCUAGCUUUUUCCUCAUCCUUGCAUGAGGUAAAUUGCGGUGGACGCCCACUUAAUCACUUGUCAGUACGGCAUAUCAUGGCAUACAUUUUAUACUGUCGCUACUAUCUUUCCUUGUACCAAAAUUUACAUAAUCACCGGGAUGCUCAUCAAUCGCCUAUCACCCCAUCUUAACAAACAAAUAUUAGCCUUAUACGCUAAUUGAGAAGACUAUUAAAUGUGUCUUGUAUCCGUGGGAUUCUUUGUUUGAUGCGGAGGAAUCCAGCGCUGUCUUCAUACCCCGGUAUGCAUGACUACAAUAAUUUAAAGCAGCGUUUUUGAGAGCUGCUAUUGUCUGCCAUUGAGUUUAAUGCAAAUUAUAGUUUAUUAAACAGCUUAAUUUGUAAAUUGAAGGCUUUAAGUGCCUUUGGCCUAUACAUUACAGAUUCCAUCAUGAACGAGAGUAUACUUCUGGCGUCGAUUUGCAUGUGACAAACUACACUCUGAAUUCGCAGUCGCUGCUAUAGUCGGCUAUUCUCAAUGGAAAUCCAAUUGUUAACAUAAUUUCUGUACUGGUAAAACACUUGUGACAGUGUACAUGGGACGUAUAAUAUACGAGAGUGAAGUCUUCCUUAUCCGUCAGCAUAUCGGCAUCUUUGCGUUUAACAGCGACCAGAAUGAGUUGGCGAAACGAUUCAGCAAUUAAGAAUUUUGCUUGGCGGACAUUCAACAGUGGUGGGUCGUUCGUUGGGUACAUCCUUGUGUGUGACGCGCCACUAAGAUAAAAUAUUCUGAAGAAGACAAAAAGCCCAAAUUGGCUUAGAGGCGCUUCGGUGCACAUCGUACAAACCUGAAGCGAUGCGUCCCAUUCAGCGAAACCCACAUUAGUGAAAAUAAUAUAUAUGGCAAGGCUCAGUGUCUAUCCUAAGGAUUGUUCACAAAUUACAACGGAGUAAGAGAUUACAACGGACUCUUCCCUGUGGUUUUCACUCCAUCACACGGGCUUGCGGCAACUGACAUAUCUGACCUUUUCUGUCUUUAGAGUGGCAGCACGGCGAAGAAGGAAUAAGAGAAAAUACAAAUCUUUAAAUCACAAAAAAAAACGUUUUAUAUAUUCUAUUUAGUUUUAUAUAUUCUAUUCUAAUUUAGAAUUCGAAGUGUUGAGGAAGUGGCUUAGCUUAAGACAAACUCUCGGAAAGAUCGGCGUGGAUAUAAAAAACAUUUACACGUAAUUUGGGGUGUCUAAGUACCGUAAUUGUUGCUUCUAUUGGUGAACUUUACGCUUCAUGAUUUGAGAUAAUGAUAUUGAGACAGCAAAAGAAAAGCUGAUUCCAUUAUUCAAAGAGAAAAUAUAUUUAUUCACUAAAUGUUGUUGAUGCCAGCGAGUCACGUAUAUAACUGUUACCUUCACAUUUACCUUGUUGAACGAUGAAUGCUCCAUGCGAACUACAAAUAAGCAAGAUAUAGUUCAUGAUUAAGUCAUUUCAAUCUAUUAAGAUUAGUUUAUCUCGAAUACUUAAUCAUAAUAUUAGGGCACAAUUUGUUACACUAGCGACAUACAGUAUCGCCAAUAGGUACCGCACUUGUAACUGAGGACAACAACAAACCUUAUAAUAGAUAAACGAACAGGUAAAAGUGUGUAGAGUUAGUUAUUCUAUAGAACAUACUAAAUUAUUUGUUUUAACAUCUAUAGAAAACUAUGCCGUUUACUAGAUUUCUACUUACCGUAUUUUUCGAUUUAUUUUAAUAUUAAAAUUUACCAAAAACACUUCACUUGAGUUUCAAGAUGACCGGGUACUCGUAUACUGUACUGAUUUCCAGUUAGUGGGGCAGUAUUAAGUCGCCUAUGUCUAAACAGUCGAAAAGAAAAGAGCCCUUUAUGGAACCUCGUUUAUUUCCGUCCCAUGAUCAUAUAAUGCCAUUGGCAGCUUUAGGACCAAAUAUGUACGUUUGACACAGUGUUGUCUGUCGACCCGCCCUGAGCAUGGUUCUCUGUUAAUUAUCUGCGGUGUCUGCUAGCAUAUCCACCGUCAACAGCGUCAUUCGUGUACUCCGUCACCCUUUCAGUCGAUGAGUAUGAAUAGAAUCUAUAGCGUAUUACAUAUUUCAACAGAGAACUUUGCCAUGGUACAGUUAAUGGCACGGUCAACAAGCCGGAACUAAGCUAAACGCACUGGGCGUCGACGGAAGAAAACGAUGAUUACGGCGACGAUACGUUUGACCUAAAAGAGGAAGCUUGUGUCGGAAGUAGCAGCGAGGGCAGCAGCAUAGGACACAAAGCGUCACCAUGGCGAUAGUGCUAGCGGUAGAUGCCUUACGUUGUGAGUAGUGCCAAUGCCUUACCCUUGAUGUUUUACUGAAUGCCAGCAGCUUGCCACCGUCACAGCGAGGCGGUGGCAAGCUGCUGGCAAGCUGCACGAAGCAGCAAGAUGCACGAAGCGCCCGUUUACCGGUAGAAGAGCAAUCAGUCGGUCGGCGAAGCCAGGUCUAGAGCUAUCACUAAGCAGCAACUAAGGCUGGUGAUUUAAACAAACAUCUCUUAUAAGAGUUUAGCGCUUACACAUGAUACUUUUCAACUCUGCAUCAGUAAGUUCUGUUAAACUUCGUGUAUGUUGCAACGGAACAGCGCAAAUUUUGGCGCGAACUAUCCGGUGCCAUAACGCAACGAGACAAUUGAUUUCGAACGACGGUUUCUUUGCUGGGGUGGUUGCUCGGUGCGCAAAGACGGCAACGAUCUAAACUGCUUUAAUCAUCACGAUAUAUGUUUAUUAUAAAAGGCCUGACUUUUUGAGUAGCAUUUUCUUAGCUGGGAGGCUAGAAACAAGUCAUUAGUUACAGUAAAAUAAAUAAAAAGUACAGUCCACGAAGCCGUAAUUUGCUACCAUCCUUCAUUAGCAAUAAUUACGAUUUCUGAUAUUUAUUAGUUAAUUUAAUUAAAGCUUGAAAAGCUUCACACUAAACAACGCAGCAAAAAGAAAAUGACAACCACCCUAGGUUUUUAUAUCUAGCCCAGGUAAAUGGAAGCGAUGGGCAAAAAGUCAACUUUUAGCUUUCCAAGGGCGAAACGCCCGUUCGGCAUAAAAAAAUUUAUAACCGUUCCAGGGUCUCGUUAUGUAUUACCGUUAUCACAUACUUUUAAACAACAGUUGUCUCAAUUUUGUACAUGUGGAAACUGAGCAUCAAACGAGUAACGACCACAGCUCAUGCGCUAUGUCCCCCUCAAUAUUCCAGAGUCCUUUCUAGUCAUAUAUAUAGUUUUGAAUUUCAUGACGUCUACUGUUUCGUAGCGUGACUUACCGCGGUUAUCUUCAAUGUGUAGAAUAGAUAUAUAUCGUACAUCUAUUCGCGAUUGUAUGUCCCUCUCCUUAUUACCGAGUGCACAGUUUUCAAUUUCAUUACGUGUACUGUUCCCUAGCACGAACUAACAUAGUUCCUUCAAGCUAGAAAUAGAACACAACAGACAGUUGAGAGAUGUAUCGUACAUCUAUUUACGUUUAUUCACGUUGCUCCACCAUCUAAGGUUCUGUUUUUCGAGAGAUUUCCAUCAGUCCCGCCCGAUAGGCUUUGUAUUUAUCCCCGCAUUACCAUACGUACUUCUAUAUCCGUAUAGCGUUUGUACCAAUUCGCAUCUCAAUAUUACAUUUGCAGCUUGUCUUUUCUACGAUCUUCUCUAAUGGACUCGUUCAAACGACCACCUUCAUGAACUAUGUCUUCAUAAUAAUAAUAGUUCUAUAUAUUUUCCCUCUUGAUAGUUCGUCUCUCUCAUUCGUAUAGUUUAUACUUAAUUUCUUUCUGUCCCGUUUUGUUCUCAAUAUUUCUCUAAUCAUGAUAAUAAUAAUAAUAAUAAUAGUUAAUAGCAAUAAUAGUCUAUUCAAAUUCCAAGUUGUUUUUGCGUUUCGCCUACUCGCCAUUUGAAUCGUUUUACUCUUUGCUUUUUCUGUCAACGAUCCUCCCUAUAGUCAUCAACGGCACUCGCGUCGUCUUCGUUUGUUUUUGUUUACAUGUUAUUUACAAUGACUGCAGGUAAUGAGAAGUUGUCACCACUUUGUUGGUUUUAGUUAUCGUUUUCUCCCAGGAAACGGUCCUCGGAACAGCUGUUGCAACCACGG